UGCGAGUGAAGCGGCAAAAGCUCAAAUUUGAAAUCGGUGUGCCUAAGGUACAUUGAGUUGUAAUUUGGAGGGACAACUUCGGGCUGAACCACACCGUAAGUUUCUUGGAACAGGACAUCAUAGAGGGUGAGAAUCCCGUGUCUUGGUGUCGGGUCAAACCAUGUGAAGUGUCUCCGACGAGUCGAGUUGUUUGGGAAUGCAGCUCAAAAUGGGUGGUAAAUUUCAUCUAAAGCUAAAUAUUGGCGAGAGACCGAUAGCGCACAAGUAGAGUGAUCGAAAGAUGAAAAGCACUUUGAAAAGAGAGUUAAAAAGUACGUGAAAUUGUUGAAAGGGAAGCGCUUACGACCAGACUCGAUCUUUGGUGAUCAGCCGGACUUCGGUUCGGUGCCCUCGCCAUUGAUUGGGCCAGCAUCGGUUCUGACGGUGGGAUAAAAGGAGGAGGAAUGUAGCUCCUCUCGGGGAGUGUUAUAGCCACCUUCACAAUGCUACCAGUCGGGACCGAGGAUCGC
rnacentral:rRNA from 1 species